AGAGUUUGAUUCUGGCUCAGGAUGAACGCUAGCUACAGGCUUAACACAUGCAAGUCGAGGGGCAGCAUUGGGGUAGCAAUACUCAGAUGGCGACCGGCGCACGGGUGAGUAACACGUAUCCAACCUGCCGCUUACUCGGGGAUAGCCUUUCGAAAGAAAGAUUAAUACCCGAUGGUAUAAAGAGUUCGCAUGUUCUCUUUAUUAAAGAAUUUCGGUAAGCGAUGGGGAUGCGUUCCAUUAGAUAGUUGGCGGGGUAACGGCCCACCAAGUCUACGAUGGAUAGGGGUUCUGAGAGGAAGGUCCCCCACAUUGGAACUGAGACACGGUCCAAACUCCUACGGGAGGCAGCAGUGAGGAAUAUUGGUCAAUGGACGAGAGUCUGAACCAGCCAAAAGUAGCGUGAAGGAUGACUGCCCUAUGGGUUGUAAACUUCUUUUAUAAGGGAAUAAAGUGAGGGACGUGUCCCUUUUUGUAUGUACCUUAUGAAUAAGGAUCGGCUAACUCCGUGCCAGCCGCCGC
rnacentral:rRNA from 1 species